rnacentral:snRNA from 1 species
AUAUGAAGGCAGGAGAGAUGCCACGAUAUGAAGGCAGGAAAGAUACCACAAUAUGAAGAUGGCUCACCUAGGGUGACACUCAGCCAUUGCACUAUGCUGACCCCAGCGAAUUCCCAAAUGCGGGAAUCUAGACUGCAUAAUUUCUGGUAGUGGGGGACUUCCAUGACACCUGCCCCUG